CCCUGGUUUUGCAGCGGNUACGGGCUAACUAGAGUGCAGUAGGGGAGACUGGAAUUCCUGGUGUGGCGGUGGAAUGCGCAGAUAUCAGGAGGAACACCGAUGGCGAAGGCAGNUCUCUGGGCUGUAACUGACGCUGAGAAGCGAAAGCAUGGGGAGCGAACAGGAUUAGAUACCCUGGUAGUCCAUGCCGUAAACGUUGGGCACUAGGUGUGGGGGACAUUCCACGUUUUCCGCGCCGUAGCUAACGCAUUAAGUGCCCCGCCUGGGGAGUACGGCCGCAAGGCUAAAACUCAAAGAAAUUGACGGGGGCCCGCACAAGCGGCGGAGCAUGCGGAUUAAUUCGAUGCAACGCGAAGAACCUUACCAAGGCUUGACAUAUACUGGACUGCGUCAGAGAUGGCGUUUCCCUCCGGGGCUGGUAUACAGGUGGUGCAUGGUUGUCGUCAGCUCGUGUCGUGAGAUGUUGGGUUAAGUCCCGCAACGAGCGCAACCCUCGUUCUAUGUUGCCAGCACGUGAUGGUGGGGACUCAUAGGAGACUGCCGGGGUCAACUCGGAGGAAGGUGGGGAUGACGUCAAAUCAUCAUGCCCCUUAUGUCUUGGGCUUCACGCAUACUACAAUGGCCGGUACAGAGGGUUGCGAUACUGUGAGGUGGAGCUAAUCCCUAAAAGCCGGUCUCAGUUCGGAUUGGGGUCUGCAACUCGACCCCAUGAAGUCGGAGUCGCUAGUAAUCGCAGAUCAGCAACGCUGCGGUGAAUACGUUCCCGGGCCUUGUACAUACCGCCCGUCAAGUCACGAAAGUUGGUAACACCCGAA
rnacentral:rRNA from 1 species